UUUAGAAAGAUCUCUUCCAAGGGGAGUGUUAGAAUUGAUAAGAUUUUCCUUAAUUUGAAGAGAAUAUUACUUCUUAUUUUAGGGAAUGAGUUGCCUGCCUGUCUCCAUAAUUCAAGGGAUUUAGAAUUAAUUUUGGAACUAUAUCUUGUAACUUGAAUUAUAUAAUAUGGAAGCAUAUGUAUUAUGUAAACUAGUGAAGUGAAUGAAAGAUGUAGCUUGUAUGUUCUUUCCUAUCUUCUUCUUUUUCUUCUUGUUCUCUCUUUCUAAAACUUAACACUUGGCCUUUUUAAGCACUUAUGUAUAUUGGUGCAUUCUCUUACUCUUUCUUCUUUAAGAGUUUGUUGCCAUUUGUGCUUUUAGUAAAUAUUAUUUUUAUGAAGAAUUUCUUCAUGUACAAGUGUAAGGCCAAAGAUAUUGACAUAUUGUCACCCUUUGGUGUUAAUUACAUUCACAUGUUUAUGCUAGUUUUCACACCUUGGCUUUUCUUAGCAAUUAUGUGUAUUGGUGUACUCUCUUGCUCCUUUGAGCGUUUAUUGCCAUUCUUGUGGAGGAAAACUUCUCUUUGGAAUUAGUUUUAGAACUGUUUUCAUGAUAUUUUCUUGUGAGAUAAAAGUAUGGUUUUCUUUUUGUUCAGAUAGUGAAUGUUCCUGAGAAGGGA
rnacentral:misc_RNA from 1 species